AGUGAACGCUGGCGGUAGGCCUAACACAUGCAAGUCGAACGGCAGCACAGUAAGAGCUUGCUCUUACGGGUGGCGAGUGGCGGACGGGUGAGGAAUACAUCGGAAUCUACUUUUUCGUGGGGGAUAACGUAGGGAAACUUACGCUAAUACCGCAUACGACCUACGGGUGAAAGCAGGGGAUCUUCGGACCUUGCGCGAUUGAAUGAGCCGAUGUCGGAUUAGCUAGUUGGCGGGGUAAAGGCCCACCAAGGCGACGAUCCGUAGCUGGUCUGAGAGGAUGAUCAGACACACUGGAACUGAGACACGGUCCAGACUCCUACGGGAGGCAGCAGUGGGGAAUAUUGGACAAGGGGGGAAAGCCUGAUCCAGGCAUACCGCGUGGGUGAAGAAGGCCUUCGGGUUGUAGAGCCCUGUUGUUGGGAAAGAAAAGCAGCAGGUUAAUACCCCGCUGUUCUGACGGUACCCAAAGAAUAAGCACCGGCUAACUUCGUG
rnacentral:rRNA from 1 species